CUUCUUUUGUGCCCUGAACUUUGUGCUGUAGACUAAAAAGUGGACUUAUGCAUCCAGAAUGCUGAACAUGUGCCUCCUGAAAAAUGUUUGUGUUUUAAGAUGGUAUAAAUGUACACUUUGACAUACUAGCAGAUCUGAUAAGCUUUGAGAGAAAAUAGCAUCAUCUGCUGCUAUUACAUGAGGAACUGGUGUGUUAUUGAAGAGAAGUCAUUCCAUAGUAUCCAUAAUACUUUGGCGGCUAUGGUUGCUUAGAUGAAGGAAUCAAACUUCAGUGAAACAAAUUGAGCAUAGUCAUAAAUGGAAAUUCAGUAAUAAAUGUCCCUGUGGAACACAGACUGCCCACAAAAGCAUUUUAUUGCUUAAUUCACAGGGUGAAAGGAUACAUUUGUUUUCAAAUAUAGUUGUUAGUUGUAAAAGCUGUGGCUUGGGACAAAGAAGUUGUUUUUUUGGUGAAAUGUGUGUAUAAUCUUUCAUACACAUUCAUUGUGUUUUAAGCCCCAAGGUCAGAAUUCAGAACCUGGCAAUUCCUGUAAGAAUGAGAAACUGAUGAUAGAAAUGAAAUGUAUUUUUGGGGCAGUUUUGCAGCCAUGUGCUUUAUUUUACAGAGCAAGUAUGCAAUUUUACUUUGACAAACACAGGCAAAAGUCACCGGAGCUUUUCCUUCUUUCCCCCCCACCCCUUUCUUUCCCUUUUUCUCUCUUUUUUUUUUUCCCUUUCUUUCUUAUUUUUCCAAAUGAUUAUACCUGCAAAUAGCAUUCAAAAAAGGUUUCAUCCUCCCAAUGUCAGUACACAGCAUUCCUCUUUGCUCUCACAUUCCCUUUACUUGCAUUAUCCCAGAUCAUCUUUCUCUAUUUGUCUACAAUUAGGAAAACAAACCAAACCAAACCAAAACAAACAAAAAAAGAAAAAAACCCAACAACAAAACACCCAUCCUUUAGAUUCAGCUCUACACAGUCCCCAAGCAUUCUGUUCUGCACUGAACAUCUUGGACUGUCACUCCUAUUGUGUGCUAAUGUUUUAAACACCUGGUUGCCCCUGUUUUUGAGCCAUAAAGUCUUAAUGUAUGUGCCUGCUUCCAUGAAGCCUGUGAAGACUGUUUCUUGAUUCAUCCUUUCCUUAUACCUGUUAGAGUUUGCAUCGUAUCCAUAUACACACAUACCCAUAUUUUAGAAAGGAUGGAGCUGCUUUUUGUCGCUCCUUAAUCCUUUGUCAAAGGGCAGAAAACACAGUGUUUUUCUGUGUGAGCUGGAUGGACAUCAGAGAUUCUUCUCUUUCUUUGGGCCCCACUGCUUUGAAACAUUUUAAAGAGCUGGAAAGGGUGUAGUUAUAGCUUUAAAACAAUGAACUUUGCACAUUACUGCAAUAAAUGGUUCUCCUUUUUAUUCUGUGGUCCAGGUUGAGAUAAUACACAGAAGUAAAAAAAAAAAAAAAAAGUCUGGAUGUCUUUUAAUUUAUUGUCUCCUGACUUUUUUUCCUCCCUGUAAUUUAUUUUUGGAGUCUGGGAAGAAAAGCAUGCCAAAAAGGCCCAGUGUAUUGAUGUGUGAAAUUGAAGGAGUUGAUGAUUCUUAUGAUCCGCACACCAUGCCCUUUGACAAGGUUAACAUAAAAAGAAUCAUACUGGAAAACACACACUUAAAUAUGAAGAAUUCCUUAAAUUCAGGGUGUGUUCAUACAAAGGGAAAUUUUUACAGUGUGGAAAGCAUUAAACCUGAUCCAGAAAAAAUGUUAGGUGCCCCAGCCAUUGAGAUGUGAAUCUCUUUAAUCCAUGCAAGCAUUAGAAAAAUCUGAAACACGUGAAAGUUCAAAAGCUGCAAAGCCAUUACAUGACUCCUUAUUCAUUUCUCAAAUAUUGUGACUUUCUAUUGAACUGUGAAAAGGCUUCUUCUUGUAUUUUUUUUUCUUCCCUUUUCGUAAGCAAUAUAUCAGUCACUCAGUGAUGUGUUAUUCCACAUUGUGAAGCUGAAAGUGAGUUUUGUUUAGUUGUGCCUACUUGGGUAUAAAUCUUUGAUUUAUUUCAGAGCGUUUAUGUAGCAUUUCAGAACUUGGUCACUUGCACCUUUUCAGCAUUUGCUGUUGAAGAAGGGGAAAAAAGCAAGAAUUAGUAGAAUGUCAGUGUGUUUUUUUUUAAGAUGUCUUAGAUUUUGCUGAGACAAGCUAGAGAUUGCUGCUACGGAGCAGUGUCUGAAAAAUGUCUUUUUAUGUAGGACAACAAAAUUAAGGGAGAGCAGAAGGUUUCACAUUAGUUUGUGAAAAUGGAAACUUAUUUUUAUCAGUGAAACUCCUGUGAGAAGAUCAUGUAGUGACAGAGAGCCAUUGGUGCUGGGUUUUUUGUUUUGUUUUUUUUGUUUUUUUUUUAAUGAUAGCAACUGCAGAAUCUGAUGGAGACUUCUCAUGUCUCUCCUCCUCCCCAUACUCCAUCCCCCUUCACCCUCAAAAAAAGAAGUCUUAAAAAGACAGAGAGGCCUGUCUUCUACAUGAAAAUAGCUGUCAACCUGAAUUUCACUGACUUGCCAGAAGAUGUAUCAAAGAGUGGAGGUAAUUUCUCAGCUAAUUUCUGUGUCUCCUGAGAAGACCACACUCUCAAGUGAUGGACAUCAUUUAGAGUUUGUAACCUAAAGAAAACAAAUGACUCAGACCGCUGCCGUGGCCCAAAGAGCUUAAAAGUAAAUAUGAGAUAAGGACUAGCUGUAGUCAUGCUGUCCUCUGCUGCCAAGGCAUCGCAGCAAAACAAAGGCUUAUUGAUCAAAAAGGUCAUGCAAAAGAGGAUAGGGCUUAAAGAAACUAUAUUAAAUUUUCUUUUUUAAAGAGUUGAAUGCAAAAAUAGUAACCCAAAGAUGGAGUUCUGUGUGUCAGGCAUUUCUCACAUGCAUUCUUUUAUUUGUCUGCACAAAUAAAGUGAAUAUCUAUAAUUCUUUAGUUUCAUGGAAUGACUUCCUACCAUAGUCUUGAAAUAGCAAAUGUGUCCCUCUGAUUUAAAUGGAGAAUGUGACAGCAGAAAAUGCAGUACUGUGCUUGCGUCUUCCACUUGAUGCUAUUGUGCUCUUCAUGUCUAGUAGGGAUGUGGAAGGCUGCUCACAUAUUGUGGUAGGCAGUGGCUACUGAUCUAUUACUGUGAUACGUAAUCCUUCUCAAGGAUUUGAAGCAAAUACCUGAUGCUGACUUCAUUUCCUAGGUGAAGAAAGCUUUUUUCUUACGUGUCCAGUGAAGGUUGUAUGGGAAAGGAAGCAAUACUUGCUAUCCAGGAUCCACAAGUUGUCAAACUUUCGUAUCAUGAAAAAUAGAAACAAAGGACAAAUUUCCAUUGUGAGACUCCUGGAAAAAGAUGAUGAAACACAGAGGUUCCUAGUGUCAUUGACUGACAACAAUCUGCUAAGUGAUGUUUAUGUUUUAGGGGCAAGGGAAAAAAGAACAUUCACUGUGAAUGACAACUGCCCGUCUCAUGUUGCCAUUAUCUAUGAAUAAAGAAAAAAGGCCCAUUAUGUUAUGUCUAACUAGAAAGAAACUUAACAAAGAAACACACUGUUGUGUUAAGGAGAGGAAGGAGAGCUUAGUGGCUAGGGCACGGGAGAUGUUGAUUCACAUUUCUGGCUCUGGAAGAGCUUUCCUCUGUGACCUUGAGCCACUUGUGUAUUGCCUCACUCUAAAAUGGCAACAGUACCCAAAGCAGGAGAGAUAUGGGUGCUGGGAUGAGAGAAAGACCUUUUGAAAAACUGCCAUAAAAAUAGGAGCUACAUAAUUUGGACCCUUUUCAUUUAUUUAUUUUUUCUCUCUCUCUCUUUUUUUUAAUUGUUGGGGUAAUGUUAAAUAUUAAUACUUUAAUAUUAAUAAUAAAUAAUAAGCCUAGUAAUAUUAAAACUGGAUUUGCUUCUUACAGAAUGAGAAGACAGUUUGGGCCACAGUCAGAAUUUGAUCAAGACUUGGGAAUUUUGAAGUUCAAGCUUGUGGGUUAAAUGCAUCUCUACCCAGAAUAAGAUUACAGUCUGUGAUGAAGUAUGUUUUCAAUUAUGCUCUGUUAGAAAAGUAAUGUGAAAUUUAUCUCAAGUUGUCACGGUGCUUCAAAGCAUGGGCUUUUCUCUUUCUAAGUCCUUGAACAAAUGCAGGAUGUGUUGAGGCAAAACUGUUUCCAAUUAAGUUGAUGCAUAACGCUCUUUAAUGUUUCAGGACUUCAAGUUUAACUUAAAGAAAAAUCCUUUAGCCGGAGUUCAGAAGGAUAAUUCAGAUAAAAUUUCCUGGAAAGCAGUCAUUUGCCUGAACUCGUGUGGCUGCACAAUGUCGGGAGCUCAGUUAGCACAGUGUGACACUUAGCUAUCAAUCUCAUCAGAACCAUGCUGACAAAUGGAAGGAUCCAACUCUGUGUUACAUCACUGCAUUUUUAUGCUGUAUUGAAGAACCAACUUCGGCUCCCUUGUCGAGUAAGGGGCACUUAAAGCACAGACUGCAUUAAGAGAAAUAAAAGUGAUUCCAGGAAGUGGCCGUGCUGUUUGCAUCCGCUAUAAAUUUUUUGUUGCCUUAAGUGUGUGUUGUUCAGAAGAAUGAGUUUCUGGUGUUCCAAGGGUUGUUUUUUUCUGCCCAGCUGAAGCAUCCCUGUUCAUCACUCAUCAUUCUGUGGAGUGCUAGCCUGAAAACUUAUGUCAUGCUGAAGAUUAACAAGGGAUUAAGAGUGAGCAAUGGAUUUUCCAGUAAAUACAACUGCAGAUCUUUGGCCUGUGCCACAUGUCAAAUAAGGAUAAGAACUUUCCCCUUGGAAGUCAGUUUUCCAAUUUAAAUGGAGCAGGUGUUGGCCCCAGGGAGUUGGUUUGGGAAAGUCUAAUUUUUUUUUAUUUUCAUGCAAUGUUACUGGGUCAGGAAUCCUGGUUAGACAUUACUUGAAAGUCUGUGUUACUUGACUGGCUGUCUCAGGCUCAAAAAAAAAAGAAGUUUCUUUUUUCAUUUCCCCCUCAAAAAAGCACAAAGAACCCUCUUAUGUACAUCAAACUACUUGUUCAGUUGCUAUUUAUUUAAGUUUUCAUCUUGAACUGUGAACUGAUAUACUUUGUACAGCAUUGCAUGUCUCAAAAGUCUUUGCAUAGUGCAUAGCCUUAUUGUUUUCUAUUUGAUUACCUUUUUAGUCCUUUUUCCACUGACAAGUGUUCCUUAACUGUUGCUAAAAUGUUGAGAUGAUGUAGAUACCUGCCCAAGGAAAAUUUUAUUGUUGGAGAAAGUAUGGUGAGAUGACAGUUUUUAACCAGCAAAACAGAAAUUUUAAUGAAAACACUGAUUUUCUUUUUGAAAAUUAUGAAUGCAUAAUUCAUAUGUUUAGGGAGAAAUCAUUAGGCAUUACUUCAUUUAGAAUGUCACUGUAUUUGUGAGGAGAGAAAUGCUGAAACCAAAUGAAAGAGACUUUUCUUUGCUAAAUGAGAACUUUCAUGACAAAUUUUCCUACUACAGAAUCACUGCAUGUUAAGAAAAAGAGGAUGUUUUGAAGAAUACUUUCCCCAUCCCCAUUUAUUUUUUAACAGUAGAUGUUGUUUGUUUGAUUUGUUUUGUUUUAUAUCUGCAAAGAAAUGGGAAAUGUAAAAAAAAGGCAUUUGUUCAGGUAUAUUCCAAGGUUUAUGAUCUUUUUGGGAAUAUUACCUGCUUGUAAGAAGGUUUAGAAAAGAUAUAUACACAAAUCUCUUGCAUAUUUCUUACACAAAUGUAUAUACGUUUGUACAGUUGAAAAGUGGUGCACUUUGUAGUUUAUAGAAAAAGAAAUGAGUCUCAGCUAACAGAUUAUAUUAAUAUAGAUGAACUAACUAUAAAAUGAUUUGCCUCAUUCAAAGAAGCUUUUGAGUGCUGCCUCUUUCUUCGAUAUGUCUAUGAUGUUGAAGGCUGAGUUCACAUCCUGUUUGCCCUGGCUACACUUAAAUGUAAAAAAAAAAAGUCUUGCUGAUGUGGUUUAAGGCUAAAACUCCAUCAAAAGCAUCUUUCAUUGCAUGCUGAGCGCUCAGGAGAGCACAUGGUGUUUCUUCGCCAUCUCUCUGUGUUGUGUGUGUUCAAGAGUAUAGAUCCAUCAAUCUACAGCUUCGCUCCACUCUUUUGUCCCCAGUCGGAUUUAUGCUGUGACAUUAGCUAUAUAACAUUACCCUUAAUUUAGGCUGAAGCAGCACUCUUAAUCCCUUUGAUAGAGGCAAUACCAGAUAUGUAAUGCUUUGAUACCAAGGUGAUGUGCAUGGUAUAAAUAAUUACACAAAUACCUUUAGCCUCCCAGAGUUGCAGAGAAACUCUGUUUUGUUUUUUGUUUUCUUUUCUUUUCUUUUUGGUAUUUUUUUUUUUGUAAGUAAUGAUUUGUAUGCUGCAGAGUUGUCUAGGGGACAGAAAAUAUCUUUAUUGAACAGUGCUGCUAUCCACCACUAUAUUAAAAAAGCUUCAAGAUUUGCUAUUAUAUGAGCCUGUGUGUGUCAUAUAUUCACAUAAGUCCUACUUUCUUAGAUGGAAUCUCAAGUGAAAAUAAAAAUAAAUGGAUAUCCUAAAGUCUUUGCAAACCAUUUGUGAUGCUUUUACUUUACAUUUUUUUCAUGGUGACAUCCAUCGGAAUCUAAUCUCUUAAUAAACUCAGGCUAUACAUUGCACUCUCUUCCUUCAUGUGGCCCUUGAGAGACAAUUUUCUAAUACAGUGAAGAUGAUAAAGAAAAGAGCCUUUUUUAUUUUCUUACUUCAGUGCAAGAGGGACACAGAAGAAGAAAUUCCUUGUGAGUAGCAUAAAAGCCACUUUAAGGAACUGUUGAGCUGUUUAUUGCAUUACCUUUGACAUUAAUAUCUAUGAUCUCUAUUGCAUGGGUCUCAAGAAGAUCCUAUGCACGUCCAAUAAAUUCAAGUACUUUUUGUCUUAUUAAGUUUUAGUACAUGUGCUGUAGUUACAGGAUAUUGGAACAUCCAGAUGGUUCUGAGGUUUUAGUUAGGCUUCCAAAGGCUUGAAGACUUUUUUGAGCUGUAUGAACUAUGGUUGUCUGUGACAUCAGGCUGGAAAUCUCCCAGGAAUGGCUCCUUGGAAAGAUUAUUGUUAUUUCAAUUUUCUAACUAAAGAAAGAGCCUAUUCUAAUGUAUGAAUAUUGGUCCAAUCCUGCAAACCAUUUACAGUACUUUCAAACUUGAAGUCAGCAAAGAUAGUGCAAUAAAGUAUAUCAAUAUAUGACAGGAAUUAUUGCUACCUUAGCAAAAGAGUGAAAAGUAAGACAGAAAAACGGUAUUAUAUUCCACUCUUUUUAUACUCCUGUUUCUUACUUACUUGAAUUAUAAGUAAACAGAGUGGGACCUUGUUGCAGAGGCACUUUUUUUGUGCCAUGUUAGGGUACUGUGACGGUGGCCUGGUUGAUGACUGUGGGUCCAUGUAUUCUGAUAAUACUGUGAAAAUGCAAUAAGCUUCACUAAUUCCUGAUACAUUUAACACUGAAUUCUGCAGGGAGGUAGUCAGCUUGAUAGUGGGGAAAAAAAAAUCCGUCAGUGAAUAGGAAUAUGUUUACAGUUACUCAUUUAGCACAUAAACUAAUUCCUAAUAAUUGAAUGUACAUGUAUGUUGUGUAUUCUGUAUUCUGCAAGCUCCUUUGCAGCAUGUGGUGUCUGAUACAAACGAUAUGAGCUUCAUAGUUUCUUUGACAUGUUAGAGUGAGAGCUCUUUGCAUUUCUGAUGACUCACAUUGUCACUUGUGAUUUAAUAAUUGAUCUGUACUCUUCAGUGUAAUGAAGCCUGUAAUUUAUUAAAAGACGAAAAGUGUUCCCAUAAUUAGUGUGCUGAUAUUUGACAGGAAAAGUGAAUUUUUGAGGUACUGCUUCUAUAAAAUCUUGUUGGUAAAUGCAAUUCGUUGUUAUGCUUGUUGAAGCACUUUUUGAUAGCUGUCUGGAUAAAAUAGGGAUACAUAUUUGCAGUGAACUUGAACGAGUUUUGUCUAGUGUCUCUGCCAUCACUUUUGAAAUGGUUGUGAAAUGUACGAGUUUCCUGUGAAGGUCCAAGACACUUCCUCAGGACUUUUAGUGAGGCUCAGUGUCGGUUGAUAAGAAAUGAACAUUCAUCUCUGUAAGUCUGUUCUUGAGCCAAUGACCAAAUGUUUCUGGGACCAUGAAAGUUUCUAUAUCCUCCUUUCACUUAGUUUGUUACCAUUCAUGCUCUGCAUUGGUGAAGAAAUAUAGAAAGGUAUGUAUUGGCCAAUACUGAGAUAUAUAACCCUAACAAACAAGAAAAGAACUCUGGGGAGUAGAAGGAGGAAAGGUAGGGAAUGGGGAAGAG